rnacentral:rRNA from 1 species
CCUACGGGAGGCAGCAGUGAGGAAUAUUGGUCAAUGGGCGCUAGCCUGAACCAGCCAAGUAGCGUGAAGGAUGACUGCCCUAUGGGUUGUAAAUAUCUUUUAUAGGGGAAUAAAGUGCAGUAUGUAUACUUCUGUGCAUUUACGUUAUGAAUAAGGAUCGGCUAACUUCGUGCCAGCAGCCGCGGUAAUACGGUGGAUCCGAGCGUUACGCGGAUUUAUUGGGUUUAACGUGAGCCCAGGCGGGUUGUUAAGUCAGUUGUGAAAGUUUGCGGCUCAACCGUAAAAUUGCAGUUGAUACUGGCAUCCUUGAGUACAGUAGAGGUAGGCAGAAUUCGUGGUGUAGCGGUGAAAUGCUUAGAUAUCACGAAGAACCCCGAUUGCGAAGGCAGCCUGCUGGACUGUAACUGACGCUGAUGCUCGAAAGUGUGGGUAUCAAACAGGAUUAGAUACCCUUGUAGUC